ACUCUGGGUGGGGCUAGAGGUGGCAUUUCCGAUCACUCACAGCUUCUCUUGCACACCCAG
rnacentral:miRNA from 1 species